CCUGUGCAGCAAUGACAUCCGAAUCUCCACCAUCUGAUUCCCCUGUCUUUUCAUAACUUUUGACCAAAUUCUGCCACAAACAUUGGAAAAGAAACGUUUAAACUCACCACGUGUGAAUAAAAGUUAUUUCAUCAUGCCCCUUGGCAGUUUUGCUUUCAAUUUAUAUUAUCUGGUCCUAGCUUGCUCCCUUAGUGACUCGACUCCCUAGUGCUCCCUUAGUGACUCAAACCUAUAACCUUAAGGUAAGGGACUCGAACCUAUAACCUUAAGGUAAGGGACUCGAACCUAUAACCUUAAGGUAAGGGACUCGAACCUAUAACCUUAAGGUAAGGGACUCGAACCUAUAACCUUAAGGUAAGGGACUCGAACCUAUAACCUUAAGGUAAGGGACUCGAACCUAUAACCUUAAGGUAAGGGACUCGAACCUAUAACCUUAAGGUAAGGGACUCGAACCUAUAACCUUAAGGUAAGGGACUCGAACCUAUAACCUUAAGGUAAGGGACUCGAACCUAUAACCUUAAGGUUGGAGGUGAAGGACGCUUACCAUCUAGGCAGAUUCUAGCUCAUUAAAGAUGCAACAAUAGACACAUAACACACAUAGUAACAUAGAUAUACAACCGUACCAUCUCUAUAACAGAAUUGAAAAAACACAAAGCAAAUCGAAUCUAACUUCGAGCAAUUAAAAACCUAGAUUGAACACAUACCUGAAGCUCGCCUAUCACAUCCGAUAAUUUUCCGUUUUUAAACAACAAAGUACCAGUAUACC
rnacentral:lncRNA from 1 species